CGUUCAGAAGUAAACAGGUGGAGCUGCGAUGCAGUCCGUAGAGUCCAGCUUGCUUUCUGGCGCGUCAGGUGUUUGGAUCGAAAGACCACUCAUCGGGCAUUAGUUUGGUUAGCGAGUGCAUUCUCUACGGGCGACGUCACGACCAGUUAGUGUUCCGGCAAAAGGACCAUCGGUUGCCGACCAAGACUUUGCGGUUUUGGUGACCCGCCCUUUGGUUCCCGAGACCAGGUUGCACUGACUGUGGAUCGCCAUGCGGGCUUGGCUCUGAGAGUAUCGGACACCCGUCGUAGUCGCUGGGACGUGCUUGUACGGCCCUAUGAUUGCUGACGGGGUAGGAAGUGCUCUUUAGACUACGCAUUGAUGGUCUGUGACGUUCGAGUCAGCCACCCACCCGACCCGUCUUGAAACACGGACCAAGGAGUCUACCAUUUGUGCAAGUCAUUGGGCGUUAAAACCCAAAGGCGAAAUGAAAGUGAAGUGAAAUGGGAUAUUCGGUCUUCGGACUGUUUUGCACCAUUGCCCCAUCUCGACUGCUCCGUCAGUGAGGUGGUGGAAGAGCACAUAUGGUGGGACCCGAAAGAUGGUGAACUAUGCCUGAGCAGGACGAAGCCAGAGGAAACUCUGGUGGAGGUCCGUAGCGGUUCUGACGUGCAAAUCGAUCG
rnacentral:rRNA from 2 species